rnacentral:rRNA from 1 species
GUAGUCUCGCACAGAUGCAUAUCAAUAAGCGGAGGAAAAGAAACUAACAAGGAUUCCCCUAGUAACGGCGAGUGAAGCGGGAAGAGCUCAAAUUUGAAAUCUUAAAGGGUUUCCCUUUACGAAUUGUAGUUUAAAGAAGUGUUUUCUGUUGAGGUUUUGGUAAAAGUUCUUUGGAACAGGACAUCAUAGAGGGUGAGAAUCCCGUAUUUGACCUUUACUUUCAACUUUGUGAUACACUUUCAAAGAGUCGGAUUGUUUGGGAAUGCAGUCCAAAAUGGGUGGUAAAUUUCAUCUAAAGCUAAAUAUUGGCGAGAGACCGAUAGCGAACAAGUACCGUGAGGGAAAGAUGAAAAGAACUUUGAAAAGAGAGUUAAACAGUACGUGAAAUUGUCAAAAGGGAAGCGUUUGACACCAGUGUUGUUUUUCUGAAAAUCAAUUAAAGAACUGUUUAUGCUAAGUUGUUUAGACUUUAUCAGCUAACUGUUUAGUUUUGAGCUUUUCUUUAAUGCACUUUUCAGUUAACAAGUCAACAUCAAUUUCUUUUGCUGUAAAAAAGCUUGAGGAAGGUGGCUUGAGAUUCGUCUUAAGUGUUUAUAGCCUCUUGCCUAUGCAGUCGGAGAGAUUGAGGUCUGCAGCGUAGAUCCUUCGGGCUAAAUGCAUUUGUGCUAAGUUAUAACAUUUUAUAGACAACUUGUUGACUAUGAUUUGUCUUGUAGCUUACUCGCUUAUGUUAUUUUACCUACGCUUAGGAUGUUGAUCUGUAGUGCGUGCGC